rnacentral:rRNA from 1 species
UUUUGGACAAUGUGCGCAAGCCUGAUCCAGCCCUGCCGCGUGAGUGAAGAAGGCCUUCGGGUUGUGAAGCUCUCUCGGACGGAAAGAAAUCGCGCAUGCUCUUACCCUGCGCGGAUGACGGUACCGUCAUAAGAAGCACCGGCUAACUAUACGCCCCCACCCGCGGUAAUACGUAGGGUGCGAGCGUUAAUCGGAAUUACUGGGCGUAAAGCGUGCGCAGGCGGUUGACUAAGACAGGCGUGAAAUCCCCGGGCUUAACCUGGGAACUGCGCUUGUAACUGGUCAGCUAGAGUACGGCAGAGGGGGGUGGAAUUCCACGUGUAGCAGUGAAAUGCGUAGAGAUGUGGAGGAACACCGAUGGCGAAGGCAGCCCCCUGGGCCGAUACUGACGCUCAUGCACGAAAGCGUGGGUAGCAAACAGG